GGUGAGCCGGUCACCCCUAAAGGCACCAGCCGCGGGGAGAGCUCGUGCGGGGCUGCGGCAACCGGGGCCGAGCGCUGCCGGUUUGGCGGGACCCGACGGGCGCGGCGGGAACCCGGAGCCCUCGUGCUGGAGAUUCGGGCUCGGAUCGACCGGGACACGGACACCGUGGGGAACCGGGCCCCGGGGAAUCGGGCCCUCGGCCGCCCUCGGGACCCGCCGGUGGCCGACCCGCCGCAGACGCUCCCGGUGCGGAAACGGCAGCGCGGUUCGACGGGACCGCCGGUGCUCCCCGCUCCGGUGCCAGCCCGUGCGGGACCGGGGCGCCGGGGCGAGAGCCGCCGCCGAGUACCGGGGCGGGACGGCCCGCGCUCGGUGCGCAGCGGAGGUUUCGGCGCUGGGUGUACCGUGCAGGGGGCUGCCGAGCUGCCCGGGGAGCGAUGCCUCACCUCCGGGUGCGCCCGUCCGAAGCGGGCAUCCUGCCCCGCCGGCUGCCGGUUCCCGGGCAAGCGCCGGGCUCCCGCACACCGGCAAUCGGCGAGCUCCGGGCCGCGUAACGCGCCCUACCUGGGCCCUCCGCCGCCGGCGUGGUCCACCCCGGCCCCCGGCGGUUCGCGGGGCCCCGGUGCCGCGGAGAGGGGCCGGGCCCGGUGCGGGCCGCACGGAGCUCCCGGUGCCUUCGGGGCCCCGCACCCCCGAGGACGGGGCGCCCGCAGCGGGAGCCCGCAGCACCAUCUGCUGGUCACGGGCCCGGUCCGGGGGAGCCGGCACCCACCUGCGGCCAUCCCUGCGCCGGGGGGGUCCGGAGGUGGCGGGGCCGAGCGGUACGAGGGCACCGACACACACAGCUGCCUGCUCCCGGUGUCCCGGGCCCCGGGGAAAAAAAAGCCGUGGGCGAUCACGGAGGGGGCACGGUGCGCCCGUGCGCUGAGUAGUAGCGGGGGGAAGGAUGAAGCACCCCCCCACGCACCCCGUUCCCCGGCAGAAAGCUCCGCUGGGGCUUAA
rnacentral:lncRNA from 1 species